CUUGUGAUUCUAUGUUUACAACCAACCAAGAGAUAACAAAACAAAGGACGUCAGAAUAAAGCAAGCCUGGAAACAUAGCAUCACAAGUAUUAUGAUCAACAAGAAGAAACCGGGAUGGCAGGAGGAAGAAGCACAGCCAUUUAACUGCAGUGUUGAGUGAUGAGCUGUCAUCUCAAGUGAUCUGUCUUGGCUGAUGUACUGCUUAAACUAACUGAGAGAAACUUUAUUAAAAGUGUCAAUUAGAUUUUUUAUUUCAUGGUCACAUAACUUAUUUUUAAGGUUAUUUUCCAGAGCAUAUCACAAUCAAAGGAAAAGUCUUCUAUACUGUUUUUGUAGACUGAGACAGACGGAGUGGGAGUUCAGAGUGACACCUGGAUGAAACAGAGGGAUCAACAGACACUUUGCCCUUUGGAUGUCAGUUCAGUUACUGUUCCCUCAAAGAGAACCAAAUGUCACAGUGAAUCCCAUCCAGGGAAUAAAUAAUGUGCUGACUCCUGACUGAA